CUCUCUCUGUCAUUAUGUUCUCUCUCUCUGUCACUCUCUCUCUGUCAUUAUGUUCUCUCUCUGUCAUUAUGUUCUCUCUCUGUCAUUAUGUUCUCUCUCUCUCAUUAUGUUCUCUCUCUCUGUCACUCUCUCUCUCUCAUUAUGUUCUCUCUCUGUCAUUAUGUUCUCUCUCUCAUUAUGUUCUCUCUCUCUGUCACUCUCUCUCUUUCUCUCUUUCCUCCUGUCUCUUUUCUGUUUUUUUAUGCCUGCUGUAUUUACAAUGUUACAUUUUACAGUAGUAUUUGUGGUUUAAUAGUUAAAUUGCUGAGAAUAUUGUUUAGAAUAAUAAUCUCUCUCUCUCAUUAUGUUCUCUCUCUCUCUCAUUAUGUUCUCUCUCAGUAUUUGUGGUUUAAUAGUUAAAUUGCAGAGAAUAUUGUUUAAAAUAGUGAGGUAAUAUGAAACAGGUAGGUUAAUUUGCGGCAAAUUCCUUUCAAAACAAUGAUGUAAGUCUGCUUCCGGGGAAUCCAAUAACUCAAGUAUUUGUGUUACUGAUGCCCUUUCCCCAUCAUGUGAGACCUUAAACAAGGAAAGAUAAGGAAAAGCAAAUGACCUUAUUAAGAUCAGAUGCAAAAAAACAGGGCAGGGAGUGACACCACAAUUCAGAUUGAAAGAUUACAAUAUUAUUAGAUGGCCAGAAGGGGUAGACCAAGAGGAACAUUGAGGUUCAUGCAUGGCACUGAAACGAAAUCCAUUAUACUCAAUCAAAGUUGAAUCAAUCCAUAAAAACAUUAGGUCAUUCAAUUGGUGAUUCAAAAAAGUAUAAAUAGAAUCAGGCAUUCAUCUGCAUUUGUUAAGAUUUAUUGUCAGCUGUAAUUGGUGUUGGUAGCCUAACACGUGGGGAGCAGAGCGACAUCUAGCCGUGACACAGUUCUCUAUGGAAAUUCUUAUAGUAGCCUAUUUCAAUAGCUGAACAUAUCACGGCGGUUUACUGACAUCUAGCAAGCACAAAACAUGUCCAUGUGCAAUCUAUUUACCGUUUUCGUUCGUUAACAUCAACACUGCAUUAUUGCAAGUCACUAAUUCGUUGGAAACAAAUAAUUAAAUGUCUUUCUAUAGCGGCCAAUGGCGGGAAUACGAGCUACUCGAUGAGAUCCUUUGUCCCGCUCUGCCCCCUCUUUCCGCAAAAUGACAGUGCCCUCAUGUCAUAUUGACCAUGCAGCGGCGACCACUCAGCCUCGUUCGAAAAACAUUCCCUGCGCAACAAAGCGCACUGUCACCACUCUGCGCAAUGGGAAGACCACCUCAAUGUAUUACUAGCCAAAUAAAGGCUAUUGGUGCACUCAGCUGAUAAUUAAACAACAAAAAACAACCGUCUUCAUGCAUAAUUAUGUUAUGCAUGCAUAUUUAUGGUUUUAUAUCAACGAAUGUAUAAGAAUGUAAUGUAAUGCAUUAGCAGAAACACAUCACUGCAAAUGGGAAAAUGCAAUACAGGGGAAAGGACGCACUCUAAACCAAAACCAUCAUGUAAUUACAUAUAGGCCUAGGUAACAAAACAGUAAUAGGCUCACCUUAACUUUCCUGUUUUCUUGCACGUCAGCGCUCCGUCGGUCUCUUACAAAUUAGAUUGAUUCCACAUGGUGACUUCAGCAGCACCCACUCCAAACUGUUGAAAGUGCGUGUUUAGCAAUAGUCAUCAAUAUUUCGUAUUAUAACGCAUAACGCGUGGUUAGGCCUAAUAUAUGUUAUCGUUUUUGUCUAUUUGAAAAACAGCGUGCAGCUUCCUCCUCUGCUGUUUGUAUCCCUCCUAUGAAAUGCUUUCGCCCAGCUCUACAUUGUUGACAUUCGAGCGCUGACGUCACCCUGUCCCUCAUUCACAACAUUGCGCUGUGCAUAAAUUACACCAAAGCCCCCGUAGAGUUGAAAUUUUACUCCAAAUGGUGGGCGCAUUUGGGAUUGGUGAAUUGCCUUUACAACCAUGUCACCGUAAAUUCCGUCGCGGAGCGAGGAACGGGAGAAUGGCUAGGGAUAAUGAAGAUCCUUUGAACCACCAUCAAUAGGCUAAAAUAACAUCCUCUGGAUGCAUAUCAUCAUGCCAACCCGAAGACAUAAAAAAAAAAUAAACACUACAUUUUGACAGCAUGAUUUAAGAUGAAUACAUCUCACUUAUGACAUGUAUUACUAACCCCUCAUUAACUG
rnacentral:lncRNA from 13 species